CGCCCUUAGAGUUUGAUCAUGGCUCAGGACGAACGCUGGCGGCGUGCCUAAUACAUGCAGGUCGAACGCAGCUUGCUUUGGUAAGAUGAGUGGCGAACGGGUGAGUAACACGUGGGUAACCUGCCUAUCAGAGGGGGAUAACACUUGGAAACAGGUGCUAAUACCGCAUAGAUUUCUUUCGCAUGAAAAGAGAGGAAAGACGUACGUGUCACUGAUAGAUGGACCCGCGGUGCAUUAGCUAGUUGGUGAGGUAACGGCUCACCAAGGCCAUGAUGCAUAGCCGACCUGAGAGGGUGAUCGGCCACACUGGGACUGAGACACGGCCCAGACUCCUACGGGAGGCAGCAGUAGGGAAUCUUCGGCAAUGGACGAAAGUCUGACCGAGCAACGCCGCGUGAGUGAAGAAGGUUUUCGGAUCGUAAAACUCUGUUGUUAGAGAAGAAUAGGUAGGAGUGACUUCCUGCCAUGACGGUAUCUAACCAGAAAGCCACGGCUAACUACGUGCCAGCAGCCGCGGUAAUACGUAGGUGGCAAGCGUUGUCCGGAUUUAUUGGGCGUAAAGCGAGCGCAGCGGUUUCUUAAGUCUGAUGUGAAAGCCCCCGGCUUAACCCGGGAGGGUCAUUGGAAACUGGGAGACUUGAGUGCAGAAGAGG
rnacentral:rRNA from 1 species